rnacentral:lncRNA from 10 species
GACUAAGAUACUUGAGUGAAAUUCACUAAUCUGUUUUUGCCAAAGAGCAGACCCGCUCUUCCCAUAUGGACCACAGGGCUCCAGCUCUCUAGUAUCCUCUGGCUAUUUUCUUAAUAAUAAUUUAUUAUAUAGUUUAAAAGAUAAGAAUUUUAACAUUCCCAACACAGCAAAAGAUUAUUGCCGAUCCUUAAUUUUCAACAGUUUGAUUAUGUCACAGGAUAGUCUUAUUUGGAUUGAAUUUGAUGGAGACUUUUGGCUUGCCUGCACCUAGAUAUUUGUAUCUCCUCCCAGGCUCAAGCGAUCCUCCCAUGUCAGCCUCCCAAGUACCUGAGACUACAGGCAAGUGCCACCAUGCCCAGCUAAUUUUUGUAUUUUUAGUAGAGAUGAGGUUUUGCCAUGUUGGCCAGGUUGGUCUCAAACUCCUGGGUGUUGCCCUGGAUAUUUUGGAAGUUAUAGAGCGCAAGUCUUGAAUCUGUUAUCAUUUUUAAAAUGUGUUAUAUUUUACUAUGCAAAUACAAGGCGAAUAUGCUGAAAGUAUAAGUUAAGCCCUUGUGAAAUUACAGAAGGAUGAUGACAUUACAAAGUUUUUAGAAAAGAUAUACACAACUACUAUUACACUAAUACGAAAGAAUAUACUGUUUAUAUUUUUUGCUGGUUAUACUCUAUCUUAAACUAUUUCUAAUUAAAAUUUCUCUUAUUUCCUCAUAUCCUCCAAUAUUCCAACAUUUGGUUUUAUAAUAUUAUCUGUUGAUUAACAAGCCUUUUGAAAUCACUGAAAAAUAUUUUAAGAUUAUAGUAUUUCAUUGCAUGAGUGGUUUUCAAUGAUACUGUGAUCGUGACCUGAAUUUUCUUAUCAAGUAUAACAAAUCUUCUCUGAUGUCUGGUUAAUUAUUGCAAUUUGAUGAAUACCUGUUUAAUGAAGUUGAAGUGAUUCUAACACUUAUAUUUUACCUUAAUAUUGUUAUGUAAAUGGUUCUAGAA